rnacentral:rRNA from 1 species
UACCAGCACCCCGAGUGGUCGGGACGUUUAUUGGGCCUAAAGCAUCCGUAGCCGGUUCUGCAAGUCUUCCGUUAAAUCCACCUGCUUAACAGAUGGGCCGCGGAAGAUACUAUAGAGCUAGGAGGCGGGAGAGGCAAGCGGUACUCGAUGGGUAGGGGUAAAAUCCGUUGAUCCAUUGAAGACCACCAGUGGCGAAGGCGGCUUGCCGGAACGCGCUCGACGGUGAGGGAUGAAAGCUGGGGGAGCAAACCGG